rnacentral:lncRNA from 1 species
UGUUGAUCUUCCCAGAGAGACUUGCCGAGGCUGGUUUUCCCGAUUGGAACCCAGUUCCUCGCUGUCGCCGGGGAUGGCUGGUGUUCUCUUCGUGGGAGCGGCUCUCUUCUGGUCUUUGCCUUGAGCGUGGCUUCCUGGCUCCAGCGCAGAUCCCUCGGCCUUCUGGAACAGGUCCUUCGCCGCCGGCACAGGCUUUCUAGCUUCCACCUCCGGGCCUUCCGGAUGCAGAUCCUCGACAUGGACUUGCAGGAGACAUUGCCGUGGGCUGUAGGCUUCUGGCUGGACACAUUCGGACAUGGCCGUGGGAUCCAGGGCCUCGGCUGGAUUCUUCGGGUCUCUUGCAUACAGACAGGCAGUUUCUUUGGAAAGCUGGCUGGCUGGGAAAAUUUGAUGACAACUCUUUCCAACCAGGGUCACCACUCAAGCCAUGCUUAGAUAUGGACAUUUCCUCAAGCUCCUCGUAGAGACUUUUCACACCCAUUCAUCAAAUACUUCCGGCCUUCCACUUUCUGUCUGUGCAAGGACUCUACCUCCUGCCUAUAAAUUUAAAUACAGCACAAGCCUGCUAGAGACACUGAAAUGUGUGUGGAAGUCACCCAUCCAACAGGAAGUUCAGGCUGGUGUGCAACCAUCUUGUCAUGACUGUGGAUAUGGGUGCCGCGAUGAAGCCACAAUGGAGCCCAGUCACUGUGACACACGGAGCUGCCAUGGAUGGUGCUAUGGUUUGAAUGUGGCUUGUCUCCCUCAAGACUCAUGGGAAAUGUGAUGUCAUCAUGGCCGCAUUGGGAGGCAGGGUCUUCAGGGAUGGUCAGUUGGUCAAGGAUUUGUGCCUUUCUUGUAAGAGUGGGUUAAUUCUAAUCGGAGGGGUGGUUAGUUAUUGGGAGAGUAGGGUACUACAAAAGUGAGUUUGCCUUCUUUGGCUCUUUCCUGCUUCCUCCUUCACCAUGUGAUUCCUCCUGCCCUUUCUCCGUGGUGUGCUGCAGCAGGAGACCCUCACCAGAAGCCAAGCCAGUGCCAGCACCAUGGCCUUGGGCUUCCAGCCUCCAGGAUAAUAAAGCA